rnacentral:ncRNA from 12 species
UCAAUGGUAGAGCAUUGGUCUUCGGAACCAAAGGUUGCGGGUUCGAGUCCCGUCUUCG